UACCGUGGGCGGCAGUGGAGUGGCGGAGGUGGGGCGCGGCUCCAGCGACCCGAGCCCCGCUCCGCAGCGGCUGUGGUGGUCGCAUCCUUUAUUUUUGCGGCAGCGGCUACGACUUGUCAAAGGGAAAGAGGUCUCUUUGGCUAUGUUGGUUCCAUUUCUUUCAACAUGCCCCCAGACCCAGGCUGAUGGGGCUGGUGCCCCUCCUGACCUGAGUGAGAGGAGAUGCUUCUGUAAUAUCCCCAAGAGGCCCUGUGUGGAUUCCUGCUCAUUGCAGUUGCCCUGCACAGAAUGAGUUGGCACCAUGGGCUGCACAACCCAAUUCCACAGUUUCACCUCUCCCUGAAUCAAACCCUGCCACUUCAAAAGCAACCGAAGACAACAACUGCUCAGCCAGUGACCUAGGAUGAUAUAAAGGUGCUGAUCCACUCUGCCCAAGGCUUGCUCCGUGCAUCUGAAGAGGAGCCCACUGCUGAAAAGCUGCUUGUGGCGGUAUUUACCAAAUUGGCAAUGAACUCUUUAAUGCCUGUUUGUAUUCUAUUGCUAUGUGUUUUACAACCCACCAUGGAGACUUUAUAGAGUCCCACAACCUCCAAGAAAGAUUGGAAUGCAAUAUUUGGGUUCAACUGGCAAAAAUAACUCUCAUUUCUGUCUUACUCAAAAGACACAAAUAAAAUACAUUCUCGGGUCCUGUCUGAUUCCGGUUUGCGAGGACCUGCCUUUCUAAGUAAUUACAUCAUUUUCUCCAAUAUUCCAAACGAAAUUGUAACAUAUGCUGAUUAUCCAAAAUGGAGCACUCCCGCCCUUAAAAAACCUGAUAAUGCUGUUAAAAUGUUCACUCCAUAUGUAGCAACUUCAAAUGCCUCUUUCUCAUACUGAAAAUUGUACUACUCAAUAUCUUUACCUUCCUCAUAGUACUUAGAAUUGUUCUAGCUAUGAGCCCAUAUUGUAUAGACAUAGACAUGUUCCUGUCCCUGCUGGAUGGUUUUUCUCUUGUGAAGAGUAGAUCUUCAGUUAUAUCCCUGCAAACUUAUAAUACAAAAUGCUGCCUUAGUCACCUUAUUAUAGUGUUGCCUUCCCCUGAAUUUAUACUGUCUCACACCAAACGGUCUACAACUAAUAUCACUGACCUAUGUGGGGACUUUUCUAUUAGCCUAUUAACCAAAACAGAAUUUAUACUUUAGGUAUUUCUUUGGUUGGUGUGCCUGCUCUGGCAGCCAAGGCCAAUCGCACUAUUAAUGCACAGGCUUGUCUUAUAGUAAAGCAAAUUAAUUAUACUUCCACAGUUUUGGCAUUAUUAAACAAAGAACAAAGUGAGCACCAACAAUUCAUUUUAGAUAAUUGUGCUGCAACUGAUUAUCUACUUCUAUUGCAUCAUCAUGGAUGUAAUGAAAUUGCUCAAAUGUGCUGUUUCAAUUUGUCUGAUGAAAGUAAAUUCAAUGGGAAAGUAAAUUCAAUGGGAAACUUCAUAAUUUACAAGAACUUACCAGAUACAUAUGUCCCAAGGGAUCAAUACUGGAUUAUGGAAUUUCCUUACAGGAUGGUUUCCAGACAUCAAUUGGCUAAAAAAAAUGUUUCUUUAUGGUGCUAUUGUCCUUAUCUGCUGGCAUCCCAUCCCUAUACAAAAUGUUCAUACCUAUCCCUAGACAAAAUGUUCAUACCUAUCCCUAUACAAAAUGUUCAUACCUAUCCCUAUACAAAAUGUUCAUACCUAAAUGCCAGCUUCUAACAUGGUAAGAAAGCCUAAACUAAAAAAAAGAAAGGGGAGAUAUAGAGAGGCCACUCUGACUCCAUUUUGUCCCAGACACAUCCAGCUGAUAACAUUAUAGGGAAAAAUGUAGCCUUGAAACAUGGCUCCCACCCCAAGGUAAAAACAUGAGGUCUUGUAAGGUCAAGAAGCAAACAAGUUAUAUAAUCUAAGCAUGUGCGAUUUGAGUUUCUUUGUUCUUUAUCAAUAAAAGUUACUUGCUUAGGCUGGCCUGGUGGCAGCCAUUUUGCUGUGUGUGUGUGAGACCCUUUAUUUUCCCUUUGCUUGCAGAACCCCAACAAUUAUGCCUUUCAGCAUAAACAGAAUCAAAGAAGUACACACGAGUGCGGGCACUCAAGGGUAAGGCACACUGGUAUGGUCUGGAGUUGGAGAUACUUUUAUGGUCUGGGGAGUAUCCUCUAGACCUAUGAUCCAGGGUGUGUAUAUCUGGUAUCAGGUCAUGCUUUCCUGGCCUGGGUUAAAAUGCAACCCAUUUACAUGUAUUUAAAGUUUGGAUAUGGUACUUAAGUUAGUAGUGCUGUUUCAUUGAGGGUAGAAAUCUGUGGGAUUUGUGAAUUUCUACUGUGGAAAAAAAAGCACAGGCCUAAUAUACACAAUUUUAAAGAAUCUUAGGAAUGAGGAGCAAGAGACUUAGAAAGGAAAAAACAGGUCUACGACUGAAAAUAGUAUUGUAGGAGAUCCACGCCAUGUUGGAGCUUAGGACUCUGGGAAGCCAAGCCAGCAUCUCCCCUCCCUGGUAAGUGGCAGUAGUUUAGCCCACUGCAGCCCUUCCAGGGGGAGAACUAGCAGUGUCUCCUGAGAUCCACGCCAUGCUGGAGCUUAGGACUCCUGGAAGCCAAGCCAGCAUCUCCCCUCCCUGUAAGCGGAGGCAGGGUGGCAGCCUGCAGCCCUUCCAGGGGGAGAACUAGCAGUGUCUCCUGAGAUCCACGCCAUGCUGGAACUUAGGGCUCUGCAAAGCCAAGCCAGCACCUCCCCUCCCUGGUAAGCGGCAGUAGUUUAGCCCACUGCAGCCCUUCCAGGGGGAGAACUAGCAGUGUCUCCUGAGAUCCACGCCAUGUUGGAGCUUAGGACUCCUGGAAGCCAAGCCAGCAUCUCCCCUCCCUGUAAGCGGAGGCAGGGUGGCAGCCUGCAGCCCUUCCAGGGGGAGAACUAGCAGUGUCUCCUGAAAUCCACGCCAUGCUGGAGCUUAGGACUCCUGGAAGCCAAGCCAGCAUCUCCCCUCCCUGUAAGUGGAGGCAGGGUGGCAGCCUGCAGCCCUUCCAGGGGGAGAACUAGCAGUGUCUCCUGAGAUCCACGCCAUGCUGGAACUUAGGACUCUACGAAGCCAAGCCAGCACUUCCCCUCCCUGGUAAAUGGCGGUAAUUUAGCCCACUGCAGCCCUUCCAGGGGGAGAACUAGCAGUGUCUACUGAGAUCCACGCCAUGCUGGAGCUUAGGACUCGGGAAGCCAAGCCAGCAUCUCCCCUCCCUGUAAGCGGAGGCAGGGUGGCAGCCUGCAGCCUUUCCAGGGGGAGAACUAGCAGUGUCUCCUGAGAUCCACGCCAUGCUGGAACUUAGGACUCUGCGAAGCCAAGCCAGCAUCUCCCCUCCCUGGUAAGUGGCGGUAGUUUAGCCCACUGCAGCCUUUCCAGGGGGAGAACUAGCAGUGUCUCCUGAGAUCCACGCCAUGUUGGAGCUUAGGACUCUGGGAAUCCAAGCCAGCACCUCCCUCCCUGGUAAGUGGUGGUGGUGUAGCCCACUGCAGCCCUUCCAGGGGGAGAACUAGCAGUGUCUCCUGAGAUCCACGCCAUGUUGGAGCUUAGGACUCUGGGAAGGCAAGCCAGCACCUCCCCUCCCUGGUAAGUGGCGGUAGUUUAGCCCACUGCACCCCUUCCAGGGGGAGAACUAGCAGUGUCUCCUGAGAUCCAUGCCAUGUUGGAGCUUAGGACUCUGGGAAGCCAAGUUAGCAUCUCCCCUCCCUGUAAGCGGAGGCAGGGUGGCAGCCUGCAGCCCUUCCAGGGGGAGAACUAGCAGUGUCUCCUGAGAUCCACGCCAUGCUGGAACUUAGGACUCUGCGAAGCCAAGCCAGCAUCUCCCCUUCCUGGUAAGCGGCGGUAGUUUAGCCCACUGCAGCCCUUCAAGGGGGAGAACUAGCAGUGUCUCCUGAGAUCCACGCCAUGCUGGAGCUUAGGACUCCUGGAAGCCAAGCCAGCAUCUCCCCUCCCUGUAAAAGACAGACACUAUGGUAACUACUAUUAAGUCGGGUUAUUUGGUGGUGAAGCACGAGGUUGCUGAAACAGUCAUGCUUUGACCUGUAUUGUUAUUUUGUUAUGUCCUGUUUUAUCUCAAUCUCUCUCUUAUUCUUUAAAAAAAUUAUUUAGUUAUUUCUUAUGUUUGUUUUAAUUAAGGGGAAAAUUUUUAAAAACUAGCAGGAUAUAUAAUAGUAACUCUUUUUGAUUUCCUAUUAACUUGUUUUGAAGUCUUGUAAUACUCCCAUGAUCUUGUUUUGACUGAUUAGACUCUGUUCCAUUCUGUAUGAUAGUAUCAAGUUUGAGGGUAUAAGCAACUACUUCGAAGGCAAUAAGAUUCACUAAGAAGCCCGUUCUGGUUUGACUAUUGUCUCCUUUGGAAGUCCUGUAAUGUUUACAAUGCCUAAGUUUUAUUGGUCUUGUUCUCUACUGUUUUGUUCAACUUUAUAAUAUCUAAUGAGAUAGACAAUUCUUUUUAAGGAAACAAGACACAUCGUUGAUAACCAUUGUUGAUAACCUUGUACUGUUUUACAUCAUGUGCUAUGUCUAUCCUUGGUUUUGACUGACAGCUUUGUUUUACCAUAUUUGACUUUAUUCUCUCCCCCCCAAAAAAGUAAUAAGAACUAAGGAGUAAUAAAAUCCAAAAUGUGUAAAUUUUGUUGUAAAAAAGAGAGGGGGAAAAAAUGAGCUCUAAUGGAUAUAACAGCAAGUGUGUUUAGGGGUGUUAAAUAGCUGACUAUAUUAAUGUUUUUGGAUCAUUGAACACAGCUGUUUGCAGUCUCUCUGUUUGAAUGUCCACUUUGUAUUCUUUGAUACUGUGAUUUGAGCAACUAUUUCUAAGAUGAUAAUAUGUAAUCUAUUAACAGGUGAUUUCUUACUGUUUUUUUGUUGUUGUUGUUGUUGUUUGUUUGUAGUUCUGUAUUACGUAUACCCUUACACCGCUUUGUUUUGUUUUGUGUUUUUCUCUUUUUCCUUUUAAAUAAAAUUUAAAAAAAAGAAAAAAAA